UCGGUGUACAGGUGGUGCAUGGUUGUCGUCAGCUCGUGUCGUGAGAUGUUGGGUUAAGUCCCGCAGCGAGCGCAACCCUCGUCCUAUGUUGCCAGCGGGUCAUGCCGGGGACUCAUGGGAGACUGCCGGGGUCAACUCGGAGGAAGUGGGAUGACGUCAAAUCAUCAUGCCCCUUAUGUCUUGGGCUUCACGCAUGCUACAAUGGCCGGUACAAAGGGCUGCGAUACCGCGAGGUGGAGCGAAUCCCAGAAAGCCGGUCUCAGUUCGGAUUGGGGUCUGCAACUCGACCCCAUGAAGUCGGAGUCGCUAGUAAUCGCAGAUCAGCAACGCUGCGGUGAAUACGUUCCCGGGCCUU
rnacentral:rRNA from 1 species